GACGAACGCUGGCGGCGUGCCUAACACAUGCAAGUCGAACGGAAAGGCCCUGCUCUUGUGGGGUGCUCGAGAGGCGAACGGGUGAGUAAAACGUGAGUAACACGCCCUUGACUUUGGGAUAACUUCAGGAAAAAGGGGCUAAUACCGGAUAGGAGAUCUUGAUGCAUGGUGGGGGAUGGAAAGAUUCGGCGGUUGGGGAUGGACUCGCGGCUUAUCAGCUUGUUGGUGGGGUAGGGGCUUACAAAGGCUUUGACGGGUAGCCGGCCUGAGCGGGGGACCGGCCACAUUAGGACUGAGAGAGGGCCCAGAAGGCUACGGGAGGCAGCAGGGGGAAAUAUUACACAGUGGGCGGGAGUCUGAUACGGCGACGUCGCGUUCGGGAAGACGUCCUUCGAGUGAAAAACCGCUUUCGCCUGAGACGAAGCGUGAUUGACGGUAAUGAGUAAAGAAGCACCGGCUAACUACGUG
rnacentral:rRNA from 1 species